CUUGUGGCGACACCCUCGUGAGGCGGCGCGAUGGCGGAUCGGUUCCGUGAAGGGAGUGUGGGGCGAGCGGGGCCUUCCUGCCCCGAGGGAGGGGAUUACAUGGGCGCUUUAGCUGUGGGGAUGAUUAAAAUAUUAUCCUGACUUUACAAAGGGGGCAGAAAUAGCUGGGAAGUGGGUCCUGGUCGGCGAAAGGUGGGCUGGCAGAGAUGAUGAGUCUUAAAACUCCCACGCCUGACCUACGAUGAAGUUGUGGAACAACAGGGUACCUUUGGGCCAUUGCCACUUUGAAAAGGCACAGCUGGUGACUGCUUUUCCUAAAAAUACCUGCUGCAAAUGUUGGGAGGUGGCAGAGACAAGAUUGUAUAUAAUAAAUAUAUAAUAAUUAUGUGUAUAAUUUAUAUAAUAAGUAAUGCUCCUGAGGAACAAUUGAUCGGGAAAGGGGCAUGAAGGCCGUGGGGACCUCAGAGGGAGAAGCAGGUGUUGGGGAUUACAUGAUCAAGGGAAGGCAAUAAAACACACCUUGGCCUUGUUAGUGUUGCUUUUAGGAGAAGAUGGAGCUGCUUCUCUCACUUUGUGGGCUGUGGAAGGACGGGAGAGACCCGACUAGACCAGAGCAGGAGGAGCUGGUGAAGGCAGCAGUGCAGUGGGCUGAUCCUGAGCACUUUCCUGUGGAAAACCGUGAAGGUUCAUUGCAGUUUUCAUCCCCUCCAUCUAAGAACUGUUUACAAACAUUUGUUAUUAAACUCCGCAGCGCCAGAGAAGGGCUGCAUUCAGUACCUGUCUGCCUGCCUGUGACACCGAGAUCUGCUGCUGUUUGCCUGGGGAUGCCCCGUGCUUUGUAUCUGCCAGGCACAGCGGGGCCGUGACAUCAGACGUUUUCAAAACAAAGAAUUCAAGCCCAACCUGGAUGUUGUACACAGGAGACCUGAAAAUGCAAGAAUCUGUCUCAUCUUAUGGGCCACAAAGCUAAACACUGUCUCUGAAGAGCUUUUGACCCAGCAUGCCCUGUACAGACAGCAGCUAAACAGAGUUGAGUGCAUUUGGACUCAGUAUUUUCUCUGUUGUGGUGUGCCAGUGCCCACCGGGGGGGACCUGAGGGGAAUGAAUCAGCACCAAAUCCAUUAAAAUCUGUAGAACAUCCUUCUGCUGAAAGGAAGAUUGCCAACAUGCCAACUGAGAGAAGGUAGGAAAGGCACAGCCAGUGACACGAAGUAUGAUUGUUAUAUUAUACCUCUGGUGAAGCUCUGUGGAAGAUAGAUGUGUGUGCUGCAAUGGUGACAUAAAGAUUUCACAGGACUGGAACAAGUUGUUGAGAAUCUGUGUUUGUUUUUCAUGCUGCUGUCGAGAACUAUCUAAGGCAAGUAAACACCAUGAGUUUUAUCCUGAAACUUCACAGACACUUUCAAAGAACAGUUAUUUUGCUGGCCACUUUUUGUAUGGUGAGCAUAGUUAUUUCUGCCUACUACUUGUAUAAUGGCUACAAACAGGAAAAUGAACUUCCUGAAAUCUCUUCAGAAGUGGAAUGUGGUGAUCCUCAACUGUUGCCAUACAAGCUGAUGGAGAUGAAGACCGUGAAGCCUCUUGAUCCCCUGAGGACAGACCUUGUAGUGCUGGUGUUUGUGGAAAGCCAGUACUCCACGCUAGGCCAAGAUAUAAUAACCAUCUUGGAAUCCAGCAGAUUUCAGUUCCACAUUGAGAUUGCUCCUGGGAAAGGUGACCUCCCGGUGCUUAUAGACAAAAACAGAGGCAAAUACGCUCUCAUAGUGUAUGAAAAUAUUCUAAAGUAUGUGAAUAUGGACUCUUGGAACAGAGGCCUUCUAGAUAAGUACUGUAUCGAAUAUGGUGUAGGUGUUAUUGGAUUUCACAAAGGCAGUGAGAACAGCUUGCAGAGCUUUCAGUUGAAGGGUUUUCCUUUCCACGUCCACAGCAAUCUGGGUAUUAAGGACUGUUGCAUUAACCCUCAUUCCCCACUGCUCCAUGUGACUAAAUCUUCUAAGCUGGAGAAAGGGCCCUUGCUUGGAAAUGACUGGGCUGUUUUCCAGAUUAAUCACACAGCUUAUCAACCAGUGAUAUUUGCAAAAGUAAAGACACCAGAAAACCUUUCUCCACCUGCUGCUCUCAGUGCUCUCUAUGCCACGGUAAUUCAUGACCUGGGGCUCCACGAUGGGAUACAACGAGUCCUUUUCGGCAAUAACUUGAAUUUUUGGCUGCACAAGCUGAUUUUCAUAGAUGCCAUCUCUUUCCUAACUGGAAAGAAGCUCAGACUGUCCUUGGAUAGGUACAUUCUCGUUGACAUAGAUGACAUCUUCGUUGGGAAGGAGGGAACAAGGAUGAACACCAACGACGUACAGGCCCUGCUUGACACUCAGAAUCUUUUGAGAGCCCAGAUUACAAAUUUUACUUUCAACCUGGGAUUUUCAGGGAAGUUUUAUCACACGGGGACUGAGGAGGAGGAUGAAGGUGAUGACCUGCUGUUGAGAUCAGUGGAUGAGUUCUGGUGGUUUCCCCACAUGUGGAGUCACAUGCAGCCCCACCUCUUCCACAACGAGUCCUCGCUGGUGGAGCAGAUGAUCCUCAACAAAAAAUUUGCCUUAGAACAUGGUAUUCCAACUGACUUGGGCUAUGCAGUGGCUCCACACCAUUCUGGAGUGUAUCCAGUACAUGUUCAGCUUUAUGAUGCCUGGAAAAAGGUCUGGAACAUCAGAGUUACCAGCACAGAAGAAUACCCACAUCUGAAGCCUGCAAGGUACAGACGAGGCUUCAUCCACAAAAACAUCAUGGUGCUUCCUAGGCAAACUUGUGGCUUGUUCACCCACACCAUUUUCUAUAAAGAGUAUCCUGGAGGUCCAAAGGAACUAGACAAAAGUAUUCAAGGAGGGGAGUUGUUCUUCACAGUGGUUCUCAAUCCAAUCAGCAUCUUCAUGACACACUUGUCUAACUACGGAAACGACCGCCUGGGCUUGUACACCUUUGUCAAUCUGGCCAACUUUGUUCAUACCUGGACAAACCUCAAACUGCAAACCCUUCCUCCAGUUCAGCUGGCUCACAAGUACUUUGAACUAUUCCCUGAGCAAAAAGACCCUCUCUGGCAGAAUCCCUGCGAUGACAAACGGCACAGAGAUAUCUGGUCUAAGGAAAAAACCUGUGAUCGGUUGCCAAAAUUCUUGGUUGUAGGACCCCAGAAAACUGGUACCACAGCCUUGUAUUUGUUCCUGAUCAUGCAUCCUUCCAUCAUUAGUAACUCCCCCAGCCCAAAAACCUUUGAGGAGGUACAGUUCUUUAAUAGAAAUAACUACCACAGGGGGAUUGAUUGGUACAUGGAUUUCUUCCCCACUCCUUCUAAUGUCACCACUGACUUCCUCUUUGAGAAAAGUGCCAACUAUUUCCACUCUGAGGAAGCUCCCAAGAGAGCUGCUUCCCUCAUCCCCAAGGCCAAGAUCAUCACCAUCCUCAUCGACCCGUCGGACCGGGCGUAUUCCUGGUACCAGCAUCAGCGAUCACACGAAGAUCCUGCAGCUCUGAAAUUCAGCUUCUAUCAGGUGAUCACAGCUGGUCCUCGAGCCCCCUCUGAGCUCAGAGCUCUCCAGAAGAGAUGCCUGGCACCUGGAUGGUACGCUAUCCAUAUUGAAAGAUGGCUAACUUACUUCCCACCUUAUCAGUUGCUCAUUAUUGAUGGACAGCAGCUGAGAACUGACCCAUCUACCGUAAUGGAUGAAGUACAGAAAUUCCUGGGAGUCUCUCCUCACUAUAAUUACUCUGAAGCCCUAACGUUCGACUCACAUAAGGGAUUCUGGUGUCAGCUCCUGGAAGAAGGAAAAACAAAGUGUCUUGGAAAGAGCAAAGGCAGAAAAUACCCUCCUAUGGAUUCUGAGUGCAGGGCCUUUCUGUCAAGCUACUACAGAGAUCACAAUGUGGAACUGUCAAAACUUCUUCACAAAUUGGGACAACCCCUGCCAUCGUGGCUGAGACAGGAGCUGCAGAAAGUGAGAUAGCAUUGGAAAACAGCUGUUUGAAAUCUCUCUUCCACACUUCAGUCAUCAUACCCAAACUCUCCAGCAGCUACCAGAAGGUCUUGUAAGAUAUACCUCUUCAAAAAAGUGUAAAAGAUAGAAAUUAUUUCCAUAUGCUGGCAUGUGGAUUGUAAAAAAUACAUGCAUUUCUUAGAGCUCUGAUGGGCCAGAUCUUUCUUACAAACAUUUCUGGGCCUGUGGACUUGUGGACUACUGUGCACAAAUGUGGAAGUUAUUUACAGCUGGUAAAAGCGUCAGAAAUACAUGAUCUGUCCAAUUUCAUGGUAAAUAUUUACAUUUUUAUAUAUCAGUUUAAAAGUAUUGUGUCUCAUGUAGGUUUUGUAGCCCAUUGUUAGGCCACUGACAGUUUUUCUUACUAUUUGAUUAUUGUGUUGCAUAAGGUAAGAAAAGUUAAUGUAGCACAAAAUGCCAAGUGUACUUCUGCCUUUGGAAUCAGCUUGGUAAUACCCAAAGUGUGUACAAACACAGGUGAGAAGUACUGUUUAUAUGAUAUAUAUGAUUUAGCUGUGCACAGCAACUAAAUACACAGAGCAAAAUCUGGAAGCCACAGUCAAAAGCAGUGUAGAGAAAACCAAACUCAAACAAACAAAACUAUCAUAGGAACCUGUGAUUAUAUCCUGUAACAGCAAACCCUUACAGUGUGGUAAGGACUUUUGUCCAUAAUUAUGUCUGAUCUUGUACUGACUGAAAUGUUAGAAUAUAGCCAUUAUCUGAACAGAAAUUUGUUUGGACAUGUAAAGCACAAAAAUUGCAGUAUAGUCCAUAAAAAUGAGCAGUAUUAGACUUAAACAAUUGUGACCCAAACUGGAGCAGUGGAACAAACUCCUGGUUCUGUGAGCAGCCAGAUCCAGGCACUGCACUCACAGGCUUGCUGUGAAUCAGGUGUAUCUGCACUGAAACGGAUGAAAAACUCAAAAAGAGCAGAAACAGAUCCAUACUUUUAUUGCCUUAAGUUGCACUACUAUUUUUUCUUUUAUUUGCCUUUUUGCUUUCCAAGAUCCUUCAACCUUAUCAAAAUUGUAGCACAUUUCAGUAACCUUCAGUUUACAUCAGCUGCAAAAUUCUAUCAGACUUCGAGAAGAAAAUAUGAGUCCUGAUUCCAAACAUCUUAAACAUAUUUGAUAUUAAAAGUUGAGGAAGAAGUUUCAGCUGAGUGUGACCUUAAUGCUUCUGCACUGAACUUUGGCUCCGAGUGUUUCUAAAGGCAUGAAGGGGUAGUGAAAACAAAAGAGAACUACAGUACUAAAUGCAGUGUUUUAUACAGUAGCUCUUAUAAUGUUUUCAUACUUUGUUUUAGGGCAAAUACUUAAAAACAUGCAUCAAAUGGUGGAAAAACUUUCUGUGUCUCAGUGCUGUUUUACGACAUUCCUGUAAUCAUAUGAUUUAACUUUCAAGGUAAUGGAAUGGAAACCAGUCUCUUAUUCCCUCAAUAGAAAACAGAUGUUGAGAUCCUUACUGUACCUCUAACUGGUAAUCUUUAUUUAUUGAUUUUGUCUAUGUAAUACGUUGUUUUGAUAAGCCUGUAAAGAAAAAAAUCUAGACAAAUUUGCUGUAUAUACCAGUAUUCUUUACACAGCACAUUUUUGCUAAGGGAAAAUAUGCAUGAUUAAUGAUGAGGACCUACUAGAGUAGACAUUUUUUAAGAUGAACAUCUUUAUUAUUUAUUAGACAGAAUGAGAAUUUUCAUUUCAUUUUAAAUAUUCACUGUCGUGUGGAUUUGUCUCAAAAGCUGACUUGUCUUAAAAUACUUCUUAUUUGAUAAAAGAAAUACUCUGGAUUUUGAACAUCUGUAAAAGCAAAUACUCUGCCUGCUAUGGACAGCUCAUGCUUCCUGCAAGCAUCCAUAUAGAUUUGUUACAACUAAAUUGAAUAACUGGAGAAAAUACCUGGGGUUUUCAUCCCGGCAUGAUUGAUUUUACCCUUGAUGUAACCUGAUGUAACAUCACUCAAACAUUUUUAAAAAAUCCACAGGGAUUGCACAAAGCUCCUGUUGUUCACUGCUGCCUCAGUUACUCCACGUUCUUCAGUGGAACAAUUAGAAAAUAGAAGAAAAUGGGAAAAACCUUGGGCACCUAUCAAGUGCCUGAUAUUUUUCAUGGUGAGAGAACCGUCUGCACGGAGAUUUGAGUGCCUCCUACAUGCAGGAGGAAUGGCCUUCAGCCACAUUCAUAAGUUGAUUCUUUGUUUUAAAGAAUUUCCUCUCUGUCUUCCUUCCCUGGGAGAAGAAUGGGAAUGAGUGGGCAGCCAAGGCCAGAGCAGUGAUGGGGACAUGCACAUUGGUCACAUUGUCCCCUGGGAAAUUGUACAGCCCAACUGUGGUCACCAUGAGGCACUGGCAUAAUAAGUCCUCCACAUGCACGACCUUGGCCUUGGAUGGAUUAUCGCUUUUUUAUAAAAGAUAUGAAGCCACAUCUGUUUUCUCCAGAGCUAUUCUACUUAAAUAUGUUCUUACAUUUAACAGGAGCCUUUAAAAAACAGAGUGACUUUUAACAUACAGUCAGCUUGGUGAAGGAUGAGGAGGCUGAGCACAGCAUGCAGGCAGCAGCUUAGAUGAGUUAUUCCCCGUGUCAUAGGAUGGACAUGAGUACAGCAGAGUCGGUUAUCAGCUAUCGCAGCUUGACACUGAGCUACGACACAAUCCAGCAGCACGGGAGCAGCAUGAAAUGUUUUCAGAAAUGAAAAAUGUUGCUUACUCUUGCUUUCUUCAAGUCUCCAAAUUCUUAGAGCUCAAAGGCAAAAGACACUAUUUUUUUUUGUCUCUGUGCACCACAUGGAUGAAGACAGCACAAGUCAGCAUGAAAGGAUAAAUGCCAGGAACAGGAGGGCAGUCAACAGCUGAAACCAAGGACUAGGGAAACCUGAAUGGAGGAGGAGUUUAAGACAAAGAACCCAGAAGCUGAAAAUAUCGAGACGUAUCUGUUCUUGAAGAUCCUCCCCCAAAAAGUAUGUGACUGGAUGUAUAGUACGUAAUAAGCUCUUCAGGAGUGAGAUUUUGAUCGGGAAAAAAUAACGAUUUUAUAAUUUAUGUUUAGCGAUUAAUCUGCUACGACUUGUUCUCUGAAAUAGGUAUAGGUUUGGUGUUUUAUUCUAAGCCAUGCUUCAUUUUUACGUGGUUUAUUGUCAGAAAAAUAAAACCUGAGUGCAUUACUGUGAGGGACGGGAGAAACUGGGUUUGGGUGUAGAUGCGUCAGAAAAAACCCACUAUUCCUAGCAUAAAAGUCACGCUGGCAGUAGUCUUGUUUGCCAAACUAGAGGCAUCCGAAUUCACAGAUUUCUCGGGGAUAUUCUGUGCAAGGGCAAUGUGUUUUUCAAUAAGCACGUGAGUGCCAAGCAGAAUCUGCAGUUACAGGAGCAGAGGGAGACACGAGGUCGAUACUAAAAGCGUUGUUUCAGCGCAUCCUGCUGUUCGGUGAUGUCUGUUUCCUGUCUUGUGUAUUUUCCCGGUAGCAAUAUUAAACUGCCUCAAACUUGUUUUUACAGGGGAAAAACACUCUUGAGUUGUGAUGACAGAAGAAGAUGGGGCUAAAUUCCACAUGUGAAUUCUAGGAGUAACUGUGACUAAAAUUUUAAUUUUUACUGGGGGGGUUGGUGGAUCUUUUUAAUUUUCUGGAAUUGAUGCCUUUUGUGAGCAGUAAUAUUUCUGGUUAUCAAGCAGAGCUGGAAAAAGCUAAUUUUAGGCUAGAUCUUAACCUGGAUUUUUAAAUAAAGUUCAGAUUUGGAGCUUUAAUGAGAGAUUUUGCAGUCCUCCUCAUCCUGGCAAAGAGGGGCUGGAACACAGCUUACUGUGCCUAAAAUUAGCCUUGGCUGCUUCUAUACGAGUACAGUUAGGACAAGUAGCCCGUUUUGUGCAGCUUUCAGGGAUGUGCUGCUUCUCCUUGGGCUGUCACAAAGUGUUGAGCGAUGACAGUAAUGGUUUUGGUAGUUCAGUGGCCGUGCUGCACUGUCCUAUGGCCGACCACGCUGCAGUAGUAUUAAAUCCAGUGACACGUGCACCUUCAGUGGUGGCUCCUCUGCUGCUGAAGUGUGUUAGAAACGUGGUUGCAAAAAGUGUCCAUGUACUGCAGAAGCCAAAGGUAAGUUUUUGAAGUCUAGAAAAUGAAUGUGGAAACUUGUGAUUUUGGUAUCUGUGCCAAUAUAAAGCGUUCAGAUGUAUGAAUAAAUCAAUAAAGAGACUUUGGCUGCA